rnacentral:rRNA from 1 species
UACGGAGGAUCCAAGCGUUAUCCGGAUUUAUUGGGUUUAAAGGGUGCGUAGGUGGGAUAAUAAGUCAGAGGUGAAAGCUAGCAGCUUAACUGUUAAAUUGCCUUUGAUACUGUUAUUCUUGAGUGUAGUUGGCGUUGGCGGAAUGUGACAUGUAGCGGUGAAAUGCGUAGAUAUGUCACAGAACACCGAUCGCGAAGGCAGCUAACGAAGCUAUCACUGACACUGAUGCACGAAAGCGUGGGGAGCAAAC